UUAAUGUUAAUUAAGAUCGAUAAAUCAUAGCUAUUUACUUCUUGAUUUCUGAAAAUUUUAAUUAAUCAUGGGCCACGCUAUUCUCUGUUUUACUUCACUAUAUCAUUCCUAAAUUUCGACCUGCCUUCGCCAUGCCAUAUAUAUAUAUAGUGAACUCUGAGUUUUAACUUUAUGGAAGGACAACUAUGUGACGUAAAUAUGAUACAAUAUAUAAUAUUUCGUUCUAUGAGUAACAGUGUAUGAUGAAGGGAUUUAUAACUUGUCUGCCAUAAAUCCGAUCUAAAUUUAAAGACACGAAGAUUGAUACGCGCUGAUACAAGAUUGGUAACAGGAGAUACAGGGAAGAAAGAGCAAGAGG